rnacentral:rRNA from 1 species
UACGUAGGGGGCAAGCGUUGUCCGGAAUCAUUGGGCGUAAAGAGCGCGUAGGCGGCCCUGUAAGUCCGCUGUGAAAGUCAAGGGCUCAACCCUUGGAUGCCGGUGGAUACUGCAGGGCUAGAGUUCGGAAGAGGCGAGUGGAAUUCCCGGUGUAGCGGUGAAAUGCGCAGAUAUCAGGAAGAACACCCGUGGCGAAGGCGGCUCUCUGGGACGGUACUGACGCUGAGACGCGAAAGCGUGGGGAGCGAACAGG